UCUUCUUGUUUGAAUGAGAAGAAGGUGCUAGUCCUUUGUUAUUCAGCUUGGUAUGCACAUGUUCCAAGACUUGAGAUUCUCACACCAUACUCUUGCAGAAGAUGUCUGAGGCCUGUUCAAAGCUGCUACUGCUAUUAGGGAUCUGGAUCCUUUUAUUUUCCUGGAUAAUAAAUCGUUGUAUGUCAGUGUGAUCUUGUUGAAUCAUUUUGCUAGGUACCUAUCAUUUUGAAGUUGUCUAAAUUAUUUGUAGGAUGAAAUGUUCUCAAGGUCAUGUAAAUGAUAUGCUUAUUUCCCUCAUGCAGUGGAAAGGCACUUUCUGUUCUGAAAUAUUAAGAUAGCUUAUAUCUAUGUUCUGAACUAUCUGCUGCAAUGAAUCAUGAACUGAUCUGUUGUAAUGAAUGGUCUAACUCCAAGGCUACUUGUUAA